GGGAGGCGUGCUCCAUCCCGUGGUCCUCCCCCCUCUCAACCACCUGCUCCUCCCUCCCCUCUUAAAUCCCAUCCGCGCAGAAGCAAACCCUAGCCUUCCCCUCUUCCUCCCCUCGGCGCCGCCAACCCUCUUCUCCUUUUCUCUUUCUCUGUGAGCACCACCGUGAGCUCCUCCACGGUGUUUCGUCGUCUCCGGCCUCCCCGCGCCAAGCCAACGCCACCGUUCGACGCGCCUCGUCCUCCUCUUCAACCUAGUGCAAGGAAUCGAGCCGGCAUCCAGUAAAUCGAGCGUAGUUCGCCGUUCCCUUCUCCGUCUCUGGCGCGGUUUCUCGCCGAUUCCGGCCGCCACGCUCUUCCCCGGCCUCCGGCGACCGCACCGUGUCGACGCCGGCGAGCUCUCCGGCGACCGCCGUCAACGGCACCGCCUCCUCCUGACCCGCGCCGGCGAGGCCCACCCGGCGCACACCCGCACGCAUCCGGGGAGGCCCUGCAACGCCGCUCUUUUCGUCGCCGCCCGCGGUGACCGCCCACUUCUGGAACGCGCUCCGCGUCGAACACCUCAUGGGCGUGCGCGCAUGGUUCGCCAGCGUGGCAUCCACGUCGACCCCCUUGGCCCCACCUGUCAGCGUCCGAGGCUAGGCCCUCCUCUGCAUUUGCUUCUUCCCGGAUAGGAUCACGAAGUGGUGAUGUGAGAUACGACGAGUGCUCCGACAAGUUCUUCUGCAGCUUUUCACAGGCGAGCCCACCCCUUCACCUAUUUUACUUUUACAUGCUCUUUUGAUCUAUUGCUAUCCUUAUGUUGCGAUUCUGUUGUGUCACGUGUCCUAUCCACCUGUUACCUAUAUGUCCGAGAUACACCUCCUCGCCCUACCUAUUGUUUGUUGUUUGCCAGCUUUGCGAGUCGUAGGCGUGUUUAGGCUCUGUUGUUUAUCUCGAUCUGGUAUCGGGAUAUGUUGGGUUGUUGGGAGGUUUUCACAUGAUAUAUCAUUUGUUGGAGAUACACAUGCUUUAAUUUAAUUGUUAACAACUAAAAUUGUAAGCAGAGGCAUCUGUGAGCCCCUUUGCGAAAGCAUCGGAACUUUGACUUGCUAAUGUCCCCUAGGACCCGAGUUCUUGUUAUCUGUUCCGAGAUUGAGCGCUCUACCCGUACGUGGGGGAAUGGGACCCCCAUCACCCACUACCUUUCCUCGAGUCUGUUUAUUGGGAGCCACAACCUUGGUUUUAUUUGCUCAUAUGCACGAUGCACGAUUUACUUCUGUUGCCUUCGGGUGUUUAUAUUCUGUUCUGUACUCAUAUCGUGGAACGAUUAGCGAAAGCAGGUUGUUCACACUUAGCUUAGCCGUUGGCACAAACCUCUGGGUCCGUAUCGGAGUACGGCCGAACGUCGUCACGGGUAGCUUAGUGGGGUGGCUCCCAUUAAACUUUCUCUUGCAUUGGGAACGGUCUUGAUGUGAGACUCCACCUGUAGUAAGUGGGUUCGAGCAUGCGUAUGGUUACAUUUGGGCAACCCCUGCAGGGUGUACAUCUUAUCGAUAAGCCGUGUCCGCGGUUAUGGACGACUUGGAAUUGUAUGGCUUGAUCAUAGGACAACUUACACCUUAUACUUGUUGUUAAUAAUCUGAUAAUAACUUGUGUAGUAAUAUAGCAUUACCACAACCGAUACCUAAUAAAAUUUGUCCACCGUUGAGUGCCUUUUACAUUGCCUCUUCGCUUUGUUGAAGGGGAUAUGUGUAAUCGGCUGGGUUAUGUUUGUGUAGUAUUUAUCUGUUACCUUGUGCGCUCUCUUAUCUUCUCUGAGUAGACGGAUGUUGUAGCGUGUCUCUAUUGGAUAGUAGCUUUGCUGCCGCUAAACCCCACAUAUAGCCGGGUGAAGUUUAUACCGCCCACCAGCGAGCAUAGCUGGUCUUGUCUCGCAAGUACGUGCCAAUGGUACUUACCCUCGCCUUCCUUUCUUUUUGUCUCCUCCCCCUUUUGUCGGCAACCGAUGGCCCGACUUCGACAGGUACGAGAUGACGACGUUAGCAAGGUUACCCUUCCGGCUUGGCCUGGGCAGGGUUAUGGACGCCACUGGUUAUCUUCAGGACUCUUAGUCCAAUUUGUAUCUUGUCCGUACUCGGACGUAUUUGAUCUUCUGUAUGAUUUGGAUCUUUGUAUUGUAUAUUUGUAUCUUGACUCGUUGGAGUCGUUGUUGUAAUAUAUGUAUCUUGUGGGCUCUAUUGUAAUCCUGUUGUAAUGUUA